GGAGAGUUGGCAGAGCGGUAAUGCAGCGGAUUGCUAAUCCGUAGUCGGCGAUAGUCGGCUCCCGAGUUCAAAUCUCGGACUCUCCGCAA
rnacentral:tRNA from 1 species